UCCACACUUCCUCAAUAGAAUGCAAUUUGCUGCAAUUAGUCAAAAAGACAAAUAUUUAGUUAGAAUAAUAAAAUGUGCACUUCAAGCUGUUCAACUAAGCAGCUUAGUUAUAUUGGUCAUCAAUCUCCUGGUAGAACAUGGUGAACAAUCUAAGACCAGAUGCUAUGCAAGCAAAGGUGCAGCGCAGUAGCAUUCCCACGUCCUGCUAUGAAUCAAACCAAAGAAAACAUUAAUAUCAACUUCAAGUUAAUGGCCCUUACUAAGGUGUUCCUUACCUAUCAUAAUUGGGCCACCUUGCCAAUUGUAUUCAAAAGGACCUUCCAAAAUAACUUCCUAAACAUCAUCUGCGGUAGCUCUUUCGCUCUAAAAGAUAAAUAUUUCCUAUAAAAUCCGGGAGGGGAUUGCAGAUCAGCUGGUGUUGUUGGCAUUGGCAAGAGCCAGAACUUGCCAGGCUAGCUACGUAGAAACAGGAUAGGGACAGAUGUUAUUGAGGAGCUGUUUUGUAGUUUAUGUGCUUCAGUUUCUACAGGACCAAAUUAGUUAGCAUACUGUGGAGUUAAUCAAAUAAUGACAGCCUCCACCUUGGCACACAAAACUUCAUCACAACAUGAUGCAGUUGCAAGAUCAGAAGAAGGUAAGAAAUGUCUACAAGGACAGGAAAAUCGUAGCAUGCUGGUAGGCCAAUCAUGCUUGCAAUCUUAAUGUCCCCUUGUGUUGAAACAGGUGCAAUGUCAAUGGACCUUUCUCCUAGUUUAUUGGUAUUAACUUAUGAUGAAAACUAUAAUCUUUGUGCAUUGAUCAUAAAGCCAUAGAACACUCUAUUCCACAUACACACACACAAAUACCGAAAUUAAAAAUACACAAAUAAAUAAAUACCUAGAAUCUAAUAAUGAAGUUGCACAUUGACUUUAAAGAUGCAAAAAGGAUAAAGGAUGUGCCAUUGGUAGACUAGGUUGAAUGUUAGAAGAGUUACAGUACCAGUCACAUCAAGUUUAUACUUAAAACAACCUGAAUCCCAAUAUAGAAACCCCUCUCAUAUUCUCCUCUCAGACACAGCCUCCUCAAUGCACACUCUCCUCUAGAAUUGAGCACUGAGCACCAGGAAGCAAUUUGUGGAUAAUGCCUGACAGACAGUGGAUCAGUGAAAAUGAUGAACCGAGGCAGCAUGCCUGGGUUCUCUCCCUCUCCCUCUAUUUUGUUAAUCUAUCUGGAGUAGGGUUAGCCUAAUAUUCAUUUGCAAGUAAUGAAUGAACUAAUGAGUUGGCUCAGAGGUUAGAGUUGGUUUCAGGUGAGUCCAGCCGAACCCAAACUGAAAUCAGUCCCAACAUAUGUUGAGUAAACCAGAGAUGAAGUAUUAAAGGAUGGAAAUAAAAGAUGCACCACACAUGAUGUUAGAUUCCGAUGACAACUUACUUCAAUAUGUUUGGUAGAGAAUUCUUGCAGAAUUUAAAGGUAACUGACAUCCAAAAGAUAAUCAAGGAAACAAGAAAUCUAAAGCACGGAAACAGAAUGUAGAGAUGGAAACAAAAGGAUCUUGGAAGAUGCUAAAGAGAUAACAAUGAUGCAGAAGAAAGUUAAAAUAAGGUUGACUUUUUGGCUUUAAUUCUACAUGCUAAAUUUGCUAAAAACAAGAAAGGAAAUAAAAAAUACUUAACAAGAUCGAGUUCAAAAAACCAGAGAUACAAAUUAUAGUGCACGAAGAGUGAGAAAAAACAAUCUUGGUGAAAGUAGCUCAAUUAAGUAAAGAUGCACAUGUUACUUCAGUUUUCUUUUCUCUUUUUUUUUGGAGGGAAGUGACUUCACUUAUAUUUAUUCAAAGUGAGAAAGAACUUAUGACAGCUCGCUUAUUACACAAGCUUAGUUGACCAAAAACAAAGAAUUUCUAGUUUAAUGGCAAGAACAAAAAUCAGGAAACUUCUUUGUGUAUAGGAUAAGAUGGACAAAAUAUAUGAAGAAAGAAAUGCAAGGAGAUAGCAUCCUAAAGACAAUGCUACAAUGGAAAAUUUUGUGAACUAGUAAAAUCAUUCAUUGUUGUGAACACUUAGAGAAAGAACAGAAUAAAUGCUUCAUCACUAGAUUCACUGUCCCAGUGAAAAAAAAAACACACAUAAAAAAGAACAAAAUAUGUGCUUGUUACUAGCUCCCAGUAUCAAUGAAGUUCAAUCUACAAAAAGUGUGAACUUAUUCAUCUGAUGAAAUGGUUCUUUAACUCAAGAAUUGUUUGGUGAAUAAUGACCUAGAAACUUAGGAUUCCCAAAACAUUCAAAUCUUAUGUCUCUUUUCACGUAAUGGAUUGAACAAGAAUAUAUCACAUUAAUCUAAGCUGAGUAUUGGCAACCACAACUUAACAUCAACACUACAAUUUUUUCAAACCCAUGCAGGUUGAAACAGUGCCUACCUUCCAAUUGCUAUCCUAGAGUACAUGACAAUUCCCUCUUGCCCAUGGUAAGUGGUCAUGAAUUCAACAUUAGCUCACAAGACAUGAACUAUUAAUGCUACUUGCAGAGUAAAUCAUAUCAAACACUACACAGACUGAAUACUACUUGCUUAUUGAGGUUAAAGUCAAUAGACAUUAAGGAACUUAUUGAGAUUAAGCAAACAGUGGAUGUUUCAUUUUGAAUAAUCAAUUCAAAAAUUAUACAUAUAAGAAUAAAAAAAGAAACUGUCAAAACUACAAAAGCUUAC
rnacentral:lncRNA from 1 species